UGAAUUAGACCCGAAUCCAAGUGAUCUAGCCAUGACCAGGUUGAAGGUGCAGUAACAUGUACUGAAGGACCGAACCCACUGCUGUUGCAAUAGCACGGGAUGAGUUGUGGCUAGGGGUGAAAGGCCAAUCAAACUUGGAAAUAGCUGGUUCUCUGCGAAAACUAUUUAGGUAGUACGUUAUGUUAUAUAUUAUUGAGGGUAGAGCACUUGAUUGACUAGGGGGAGUAAUGAUCUUACCAAAUCAAACUAAACUCCGAAUAUCAAUAAUAGUUCCAUAGCAGACACACCAUGGGUGCUAAGAUCCUUGGUGGAGAGGGAAAGAGCCCAGACCAUUGUCUAAGGCCCCUAAAUCGUAACUAAGUGUGUAAGGAGGUGGAGAAGCCAAGACAGCUAGGAGGUUGGCUUAGAAGCAGCCAUUCCUUGAAAGAGUGCGUAAUAGCUCACUGGUCGAGUCGUCAUGCGCCGAUAAUGUAACGGGGCUAAACACAAUACCGAAGCUUCGCCUGCCGGCUUUGCCGGCGGGGUAGGGGAGUGUUGCGUAAGCCGUUGAAGGUGGGGCGUGAGCCUUGCUGGAGGUAUCGCAAGUAAGUAUGCAGGCAUGAGUAACGAAAAAAUCGGUGAGAUACCGAUUCGCCGAAAGCCCAAGGUUUCCCGGGUAAAGUUUGUCUUCCCGGGGUUAGACGGCCCCUAAGGUCAGGCCGAAAGGCGUAGCCGAUGGGAAACCGGUUAAUAUUCCGGUUCUUCUGGUAAUUUCGAUGGAGUGACGCAUAAGGAAAGCCACAGCGGGGCGUUGGUUGUCCCCGCCCGAAGCACAAGGUGUUGAGAGUCUCAGGCAAAUCCGGGAUUUGAGCCGAGUGUAAGGCGACUAAAGCUACGGCUGCGGGAAGUGUGGGGAUUCAUCGUGCCAGGAAAGAGCUUCUAAGGUUCAGGUUAUCAGGAACCGUACCGCAAACCGACACAGGCGGGCGAGACUAGUAAUCCAAGGCGUACGGGAGAACUCGCGUUAAGGAACUCGGCAAAUUACAUACGUAACUUCGGAAAAAGUAUGGCCUGACACAUAAUGGUGAGGUUGCAGAGUCCAAGUGGAAGCGACUGUUUAUCAAAAACAUAUGUCUCUGCCAACUCGUAAGAGGAUGUAUAGGGACUGACACCUGCCCGGUGCCGGUAGGUUAAGAGGAGCGGUCAGACUUCGGUCGAAGCUGCGAAUUGAAGCCCCGGUAAACGGCGGCAAUAACAAUAAUUGUCCUAAGGUAGCGAAAUUCCUUGUCGGGUAAGUUCCGACCUGCACGAAUGGUGUAACGACUUCCACACUGUCUCAACGCGAGACCCGGUGAAAUUGUAGUAUCGGUGAAGAUACCGAUUACUCGUGGUUAGACGGAAAGACCCCAUGAACCUUUACUGUACCCUGAUAUUGAUAACAUGCUGCUCAUGUGUAGGAUAGGUGGGAGACGAAGAUAUUGCGCCGCCAGGCGCAAAGGAGUUGUUGGUGAAAUACCACCCCUGAACAGUGUGUUAUCUAACGGAUGCCCGCAAACGGGUAUUCGGACAGUGUUUGGCUGGCAGUUUGACUGGGGCGGUCACCUCCUAAAGAGUAACGGAGGUGCGCAAAGGUCACCUUAUCCUGGACGGAAAUCAGGAGUUAAGUGUAAAGGCAGAAGGUGGCUUGACUGCGAGACAGACAUGUCGAGCAGGUACGAAAGUAGGUCUUAGUGAUCUGGCGGUUCCGAGUGGAAGGGCCGUCACUUAACGGAUAAAAGGUACUCUGGGGAUAACAGGCUGAUCCUGCCCAAGCGUUCACAGCGACGGCAGGGUUUGGCACCUCGAUGUCGGCUCAUCGCAUCCCGGGGCUGUAGCAGGUCCCAAGGGUAUGGCUGUUCGCCAUUUAAAGCGGUACGUGAGCUGGGUUCAGAACGUUGCGAAACAGUUCGGUCCCUAUCUGCCACGAGCGUUGGAAAUUUGAGAGGAUCUGCCCUUAGUACGAGAGGACCGGGGUGGACGAACCUCUGGUGUGCCGGUUAUCGUGCCAACGGUAAUUGCCGGGUAG
rnacentral:rRNA from 1 species